UUCAGCUUGGCAGAAAAAAUGUGAUAAAUUUAGAAUUUAUUUAUGAAUUCAUUCAGUUGAAA
rnacentral:tRNA from 1 species